CGCGGAGUGGAGCAGUCUGGUAGCUCGUCGGGCUCAUAACCCGAAGGUCAUGAGGUUCAAAUCCCAUCUCCGCAACCA
rnacentral:tRNA from 1 species